UUCCUUCAGGCUCGCCUCUCUCCUCCGCCGUGAGAAUGAUCCUUCCGCC
rnacentral:sRNA from 1 species